rnacentral:rRNA from 1 species
GAUGAACGCUAGCUACAGGCUUAACACAUGCAAGUCGAGGGGUAACGAGAGGAAAGCUUGCUUUCCUUGUCGACGACCGGCGCACGGGUGAGUAACGCGUAUCCAACCUGCCCCCAACUAGGGAAUAACCUUGCGAAAGUAAGACUAAUACCCUAUAAUUUCCUCAGAUGUCAUCUGACGAGGAAUAAAGAUUUCUCGGUUGUGGAUGGGGAUGCGUCUGAUUAGCUUGUUGGCGGGGUAGCGGCCCACCAAGGCAACGAUCAGUAGGGGUUCUGGGAGGAAGGUCCCCCACAUUGGAACUGAGACACGGUCCAAACUCCUACGGGAGGCAGCAGUGAGGAAUAUUGGUCAAUGGGCGGAAGCCUGAACCAGCCAAGUAGCGUGCAGGAUGACGGCCCUAUGGGUUGUAAACUGCUUUUAUACAGGAAUAAAGUUAGCCACGUGUGGUUAUUUGUAGGUACUGUAUGAAUAAGGACCGGCUAAUUCCGUGCCAGCAGCCGCGGUAA